rnacentral:rRNA from 1 species
AACGAACGCUGGCGGCAUGCCUAACACAUGCAAGUCGAACGAGUAUCUUCGGAUGCGAGUGGCGCACGGGUGCGUAACGCGUGGGAAUCUGCCCUGGGGUACGGAAUAACAGUGAGAAAUUACUGCUAAUACCGUAUGAUGACGUAAGUCCAAAGAUUUAUCGCCCUGGGAUGAGCCCGCGUAGGAUUAGCUAGUUGGUGGGGUAAAGGCCUACCAAGGCGACGAUCCUUAGCUGGUCUGAGAGGAUGAUCAGCCACACUGGGACUGAGACACGGCCCAGACUCCUACGGGAGGCAGCAGUGGGGAAUAUUGGACAAUGGGCGAAAGCCUGAUCCAGCAAUGCCGCGUGAGUGAUGAAGGCCUUAGGGUUGUAAAGCUCUUUUACCCGGGAAGAUAAUGACUGUACCGGGAGAAUAAGCCCCGGCUAACUCCGUGCCAGCCGCCGCGGUAAAAC